rnacentral:lncRNA from 1 species
GGUGCAUCUCUAUAGUUCCAACUGGCCUGGCCCCAUAACAACAGUGCAUAGUUGUUCCCUGGAGGCCUCAGUGUUUCUUUGUUAAAACCAGGACACUGAAGGCAACGAGUUGUUUUCCAGCUAUAACUUUUCAGAACUCUAUGUUUCUGAAUCUAUUGGUGUCCACACUGAUCUAGGACUUUACUAAUGGUUCAAUGCUUCUGCCUUCCAGGAAAAGUACCAAAAAAAGAUUGGAAUCUCAGGGUUAGGGGCUUUGCUGACCAGGCUUUCUUCUGUGGGUGACAGUUGAGCUCAAAUGAUUCACUUUAAGUAGUUAUUCAAAGGGCACAGGAAGCAGAUGGUUGGCUAGGAGUUUUAAGUCAGUGGCUUGGGAAAGAACUCUGGGGAAAAUUGAGGUAAAACUUGGGGAUAUUUCUGACUGAUUUAGAUGUGGCAUGCUUUGGUGCAAAUUCAAUUGAGGGGAGCUGGAGAUUUAGAUCAGUGGCACUGUGUCUCCAUUACAAGUGCAAGGUCCUGAGUUCGAUCCCUGCUACUGGAAAAAAAAAUUCAAUCGAGGAGAGGGUGUGGUAGUACACGACUGUCUGAAUGAUAACCCAGGUAUAUCUGAGGUUAGAAUACCAUUGGGUUUGCUAUCUUGUUUUAUUCUUUUUCAAUUUCUUUCCCUUUGUCUCUUCCUCCCCAUUUUCUCUCCUUAGACCAGCGGAUGGUAGUUUUAGCACCUAGCUCUAACUCCCUUGUGGUUCAGGGGUGUGUUCUCUGAUUUUAGUAUAGGCCUGCUGUCAUCACUGCUGAAUAUUGUACCCACAGCCUCUUCUGCCAGCAGCCAAGAUUGCUGCUGUCUUGUCUUCCUCUGAACUCACUGUAUUAUUGUAAGGUUUCAUAGCAGCAAGGAGAUGCUUGCAGUUGUCCGUUAUAUUUCCAUGGUUCUCCGGAACAGACACACUUCUGAGUGUGUCCAGUUGUUCUUACCGGAGAGGGUGCAGCUCUCGUGUGAGUACAGCAUUCAGACACAAUGCUCUGAAGUCAGGCACAGAUGAAGAAGGCUUGAGAAGAGCUGCCUCAGGAAAGGACUGGUGUUGUAUUCUGCUGUAUCUCAGUUGUUCUGGGUGAAUCAUUUUGCUUGAGUGGAUUUGGAGUUCAGGCCAUCUCACACAGGCACGAGGGUGGUGGCCCAGACUGUGUCCCUAUGUCUGUUGGGUAUAACUGGUAUCAUAAUAGGCCACAGAAAGUCUCAGCCACAAGAUAACUCUGGGAUAUGUCAACGUGUCAUUUCAUUUUACAAGACCGUUAUGAUUUCAACCUAAAACUAAAAAGUGGCA